CUCACUUUCUCACACUCAUAGGCCACAGAGUUCCACCAGAAACCACCGCUCUCAACCGUCGAUGGAGGUGGCCACCGCAGCUUCCAGCUUCGCGCUUCACACGCGCAUCUCAGCCGCUCCCCGAGCCCUAAACCCUAACCGCGUCCAAACGAUGUCGUCUUGCUCCCCUCUCCGAGCCUCCCUCUCCUCCAACUUCCUCUCGCCCUUCGCCGGCGGCAGCGUCACCUCCGACUUCUCCGGCCACAAGCUCCGCCCUUCCUCUCUCAAUCCGGCGCCGUCUCGUGGCUCUAAGCCCAAACGCGGUGUCGUCACCAUGGUUAUUCCAUUUCAAAGGGGAAGUGCAUGGGAGCAACCACCUCCAGACCUGGCAUCAUAUCUAUACAAGAAUCGGAUUGUUUACUUGGGAAUGUCGCUUGUUCCUUCAGUAACCGAGUUGAUUCUUGCAGAAUUUCUCUACCUUCAGUAUGAGGACGAUACAAAGCCUAUCUACUUGUACAUAAAUUCCACUGGAACUACCAAGGGUGGUGAGAAAUUGGGUUACGAGACAGAGGCUCUUGCAAUAUAUGAUGUCAUGAGGUAUGUCAAGCCACCAAUAUUUACUCUUUGUGUUGGUAAUGCUUGGGGAGAAGCCGCUUUACUCUUGGCUGCUGGUGCAAAAGGAAACCGUUCUGCGUUACCCUCAUCAACAAUCAUGAUAAAGCAGCCAAUUGCAAGGUUCCAAGGUCAAGCAACAGAUAUUGAACUUGCAAGAAAAGAAGUGAAGAAUGUGAAAGACGAGUUGGUCAAGCUCUUUGCUAAGCAUGUUGGAAAAUCGACUGAGCAAAUUGAAGCGGACAUUAGACGUCCAAAAUAUUUUAGUCCCAGCGAGGCAGUUGAAUAUGGCAUCAUAGACAAGGUACUGUACAAUGAGAGGGGUCAUAAAGACAGGGGAGUAGUUGCUGACCUGAAAAAGGCACAGCUUAUUUGAUGAAAGGAAGACUUGGAAUGAUUACUGGAAUUAACACUCAGAGGAUUCAGUAAGGGGACACCUAGAAGAGGUGCUGGUGCUUUAUGGUUAGCUUGCUUACAGGUGGAUUCACCUAUUUAGUGUUUGUUUUGAUUGCACAUGGGAAUGAGAAUGACUAAAGAGCAAUUUUGGUUGGUGGGAUGCUUUGAUGAUAGUAUUCAUUUCAUUUCUGCAUCACCACCUUUUUGCCCACAUCCCAAAUUACAAGUGUAAAAGUGGAAUGCAAGGAAGUAGGUAAUAUGAGCCAUACACAUCAUUGCAUUGUCUCAAUAGUUUCUCAUCCAUUAUUUGCUCUUAGUGGCUCAUCCAUUUGUAGAGCUAUGUGAUUGUGAAACCCAUCAUAGUGAAUGUCACUCCCUGAUUUGGAACUUCCUCCUUGGAGCUAUAAUGUAAUCAGGUGUGAACAUAUCAGAUGAUACAUUUUAGAAAAUUUACGUUCUUUGUAGUUGACGUUGGGUUCAUGGAUUUUUACAUUGUCUAUGAUAAUGUAACUUUGACUUAAUGGUCAAACAAUAAGCUAUUUUUUGGUUCUAACAGUCGAGAAGCUUAGUUCAGAGAACAUGCAUAAUGUAAUCAGGAGUGAACAUAUCAGAUGAUACAUUUUAGAAAAUUUAUGUUCUUUGUAGUUGACGUUGGGUUCAUGGAUUUUUACGUUGUCUAUGAUAAUGUAACUUUGACUUAAUGGUCAACCAAUAAGCUUUUUUUUGGUUCUAACAGUCAAGAAGCUUAGUUCAGAGAACAUGCAUUGUUUGAGAUGCAAGUUUAUGAGAUGACUGGCUUCUUCAGUACUGGAGCAAGAGUUUGCACCAUUCACAAAAAAACCAGUGUUAAAGCCGCUAGUGGUACACAAAAGUGCAGCAAAGGAAGUCCAUUAUAUAUGCCUUAACUUGUAUGAUUCCCAAAGAAUUUUGAUUGUUUUCUGGGUUUGGUUGAAUCUUACAUGCACUAGAACUAGGCUUAUGUGUAAAAACCGUUGAAAAGAAAUUAUGUUGUAUUCAGCUUACAGUAUUUGUUAUUAUAUUAUACAAAACUAAUUUUUAUUUC